rnacentral:rRNA from 1 species
UACGGAGGGUGCGAGCGUUAAUCGGAAUAACUGGGCGUAAAGGGCACGCAGGCGGGCUGUUAAGUGAGAUGUGAAAUCCCCGGGCUUAACCUGGGAAUAGCAUUUCAGACUUGCAGUCUAGAGUACGUUAGGGAGGGGUAGAAUUCCACGUGUAGCGGUGGAAUGCGUAGAGAUGUGGAGGAAUACCGAAGGCGAAGGCAGCCCCCUGGGAAUGUACUGACGCUCAUGUGCGAAAGCGUGGGGAGCAAACAGG